rnacentral:rRNA from 1 species
AGCGAACGCUGGCGGCAGGCCUAACACAUGCAAGUCGAACGAACCUUUCGGGGUUUGUGGCGGACGGGUGAGUAACACGUGGGAACGUGCCUUUAGGUUCGGAAUAACUCAGGGAAACUUGUGCUAACACCGAACGUGCCCUUCUGGGGGAAGAUUAAUUGCCCUUAGAGCUGCCCGCGUCUGAUUAGCUAGUUGGUUGAGUUAAUGGCUCACCAAAGCGACGUUCAGUAGCUGGUCAGAGAGACUGAUCAGACACAUUGGGACUGAGACACGGCUCAAACUCCUACGGGAGGCAGCAAUGGGGGAUCUUGCACAAUGGGCGAAAGCAUGACGCAGUCAUGCUGGGUGAAUGAUGAAAGUCUUAGGAUUGUAAAAUUCUUUCACCGAGGACGAUAAUGACGGUACCCGGAGAAGAAGCCCCGGCUAACUUCGUG